AUGCCCAGUGUCCUUGGUAACUUACGUAUUCAGCAAACGAAUCACACCCGUCUUCAGGAAAUUCCCAACAAGAGCCCACACAGUUCCUCCCGCCGUCUAUGCCCAGUGUCCUUGGUAACUUACGUAUUCAGCAAACGAAUCACACCCGUCUUCAGGAAAUUCCCAACAAGAGCCCAAGCAUUCGUCCAGAUUACCUUGCCCAACGCAAUUAGCCCUGGAUUCUAAAUCCCAUUUUAUGCCAGUUUACAACUCCUCAUCGCUGUCAGCUGCUAUCCUAAUUCCAGGUGCCUCAUCAUCAUCCUCCUCAUCAGAGCUAAAACACCUUUGACUACGCCCCACAGCAUCCCCAGCUGUGGAUCCCGUUCCAUCCCUCCAGCUCGUCCACGGGUCUAAUCCUGAAACCCCCCAGUCGCCUCCCACACUAUUAUUGCCGAUGGCACCCAAAUCCUCCCUCACACGAGUCCAUUCCAUGUCAUCCUCCUCUGAGCUAACCAUCUCUUCCUCCAUUCCCUCGGUAAAACCCUCAAAGGAGUCUUCGUCAUUUGGUUCUGCAAAUAAGUCCCGCAGCCGUUUCCUUUCUCGCUCCUCAAGAGAGUCUGACUCCCGAGGAGUCUUACGACCACGUCUCCCAGUAUCGGAGCCAUAAGGCUCAACCAUAACACCUUUCUCCAAGUCUAAUCCUACUUUACAAAUGAUAUAUUUGGAAAACAAAUUAAUCAGGGUAAUAAAAUACACCCUUGCCUGAACUCAUUGCCAAUUGGAAAACACUGUUUCUCCAGUAACCUUUUGUCCUGAGUACAGGUUACACAUCAAGACAAUUACAUGUUUUGGCACCCCAAUUUCUUUAAGUGUAAUCCGUGACAUGUUUGUGAUCUAUGUAUCAAUGGCUUUACUUAUAGCCUAUAAAGCAUAGUUUGAUUAUCAUUUUAAAUGUUAUGGUAUGCUUCAUUGCCCACUUAUAUUUGCAAUAUGAUCCCUAAUGCUUCUUUCCUUCCUAAACACAGCUUGAACAUCUGGCAUUUCUCACUCCUUAUGUAGUGAAAGUUUUCAUUGUAGGAUUUGAGCAUCACUUUGCCUGUAUGGGAAAUUCUUGCAAUGGUCCUGUGAUUAUUAUGCUCCCUUGUAGUGCAUUUUGGGGGGAUGUGAAUGUAUAUUGAGUGUUACCAACCCAUGGGCCAUUCUUUUCUUUUCCAUAUUCAUUGAAAUAUUUUAAUUAGAAUUACAGUAGAUUCUGGUUCUGUAGACAGAAUCCAUCUUCUGUUCCUGGUUAUGUGACCUAUUUGAUCUCUAUAUAGGAUAUCAGUUGAUGUCCAUGUAUACAGUUGUGAAGAGUGUGUUACAAUGAACUGACUGUUGAUAUCACAAAAUUCAGUCAGUUACUCUUUUGCCUUAUUUCUUGGUCCCAGACUAAUUUUUCCUAGAAUUUCUGUUCCAUUUUCCAUUUUUGCAUUCCAGGCAUCUAUGAUUAUUAUGAAAUCCUGUUUUGGUGUGUGAUCAAUUUCCUCUUGAACUCCUAAAUAGAUUCUUUUGAGUUUCUUUUUCUUUUGCCUCAGUGACUAGAGUGCAAACUUGAGUUAAGGUUAUAUUUAUGAGUUUCACCUGAAGUCUUACUAAUAUUAUUCAAUUAGACUUUAUAUUAUAUCAUUUGACAGCUUUUGCUAGAUAUCUCCUCACUAUAAAUGUUACCCCAUUUCUCCCUAGAUUUUCAUUUAAGUAAAGCCCUGUGAAAUUAACCCAACCCAAAAUGUCUUUAUUUCUAUCUGCUUUAGUUCACUUGUCCCAAGUACUGCAGUGUUCCAUGUCUUGCAUCUAGUUUCCACUUAUUUGUGCUUCUGGUGUUGCAUGUUUCUAAAAAAUAUGUGUAGUAGAGUUUUGGACUUUUGAUUUGGCUCUGAACAUGUCAGUUCCUUUCUGUUGGUUUCCAUUCAUGCCAUUAGCCAGAGCUCUCUUGUGCUCUGCUCUAAUGCAGCAGCUAUUUGAUGCAUCCUCAUUUGUCUCUUGUUUUAGUUUAGAUUGUCUCCUCAUAAGAGUUUCUUUGAUUUAAAAAAUCAAAGGGAAUAUACCAUGCUUUUUUCUGCAGCAUGCUAACAAAUUAUUUAUUUAUUUACAGUCUUUAUACCCCGCCCUUCUCAACCCAAAGGGGACUCAGUGUGGCUUUACAGAACACAAAUACGGCAAACAUUCAAUGCUGAUUAUACAGUCAACAAGGACAGACAACACAGAGGAGAUAACGGUAGUUUUACCCAUCUGAUUUCUGGCAUCUUGGAGGCUGUGCUUGACUCUGGCCACUUUUGGGGGGGGGGGGUUGCUGUCGUUCCAUCUCCCAUCUUCCAUGCCGAGGAGCUUCCUCUUGAUUGAUGUCCUUAAGGUGCCUUUAUUACCUCCACGCUAACGGAUUAAUGGUGGGUACUCAUCCUCAACCCGGGUUCGAACUGAUGACCUUUCAAUCAGCAGCACAGCAUGUUUAGUCUGCUGUGCUAAGCCUGGCCCCUUAAUAAGCAUUAGUUAUGGUGCCACUGUCCUUAUGUCCACGAGAUCCUCCACUAAUGUAACCCUUCACUAUUGAUGGUGCCCAUU
ensembl:lncRNA